AUUGAACGCUGGCGGCAUGCUUUACACAUGCAAGUCGAACGGCAGCGCGGGCUUCGGCCUGGCGGCGAGUGGCGAACGGGUGAGUAAUGCAUCGGAACGUGCCCAGGAGUGGGGGAUAGCCCGGAGAAAGCCGGAUUAAUACCGCAUACGACCUGAGGGUGAAAGCGGGGGACCGAGAGGCCUCGCGCUAUUGGAGCGGCCGAUGUCGGAUUAGCUAGUUGGUGGGGUAAAGGCUUACCAAGGCGACGAUCCGUAGCUGGUCUGAGAGGACGACCAGCCACACUGGGACUGAGACACGGCCCAGACUCCUACGGGAGGCAGCAGUGGGGAAUUUUGGACAAUGGGGGCAACCCUGAUCCAGCCAUGCCGCGUGCGGGAAGAAGGCCUUCGGGUUGUAAACCGCUUUUGUUCGGGAAGAAAUCCUCUGGGCUAAUACCCCGGGGGGAUGACGGUACCGGAAGAAUAAGCACCGGCUAACUACGUG
rnacentral:rRNA from 1 species